CCUACGGGGGGCAGCAGUGGGGAAUAUUGGACAAUGGGCGAAAGCCUGAUCCAGCCAUGCCGCGUGUGUGAAGAAGGCCUUCGGGUUGUAAAGCACUUUCAGUGGGGAAGAAAGCCUUGGGGCUAAUACCCUCGAGGAAGGACAUCACCCACAGAAGAAGCACCGGCUAACUCCGUGCCAGCAGCCGCGGUAAUACGGAGGGUGCGAGCGUUAAUCGGAAUUACUGGGCGUAAAGCGCGCGUAGGCGGUCUGAUAAGCCGGUUGUGAAAGCCCCGGGCUCAACCUGGGAACGGCAUCCGGAACUGUCAGGCUAGAGUGCAGGAGAGGAAAGUAGAAUUCCCGGUGUAGCGGUGAAAUGCGUAGAGAUCGGGAGGAAUACCAGUGGCGAAGGCGGCCUUCUGGACUGACACUGACGCUGAGGUGCGAAAGCGUGGGUAGCAAACAGGAUUAGAUACCCUAGUAGUC
rnacentral:rRNA from 1 species